GCUAAUACCGCAUAACGUCUUCGGACCAAAGUGGGGGACCUUCGGGCCUCAUGCCAUCAGAUGUGCCCAGAUGGGAUUAGCUAGUAGGUGGGGUAACGGCUCACCUAGGCGACGAUCCCUAGCUGGUCUGAGAGGAUGACCAGCCACACUGGAACUGAGACACGGUCCAGACUCCUACGGGAGGCAGCAGUGGGGAAUAUUGCACAAUGGGCGCAAGCCUGAUGCAGCCAUGCCGCGUGUAUGAAGAAGGCCUUCGGGUUGUAAAGUACUUUCAGCGGGGAGGAAGGUGUUGUGGUUAAUAACCACAGCAAUUGACGUUACCCGCAGAAGAAGCACCGGCUAACUCCGUGCCAGCAGCCGCGGUAAUACGGAGGGUGCAAGCGUUAAUCGGAAUUACUGGGCGUAAAGCGCACGCAGGCGGUUGAUUAAGUCAGAUGUGAAAUCCCCGGGCUCAACCUGGGAACUGCAUUUGAAACUGGUCAGCUUGAGUCUCGUAGAGGGG
rnacentral:rRNA from 1 species